GAUGAAGAACGCAGCGAAAUGCGAUAAGUAAUGUGAAUUGCAGAAUUCAGUGAAUCAUCGAAUCUUUGAACGCACAUUGCGCCCCCUGGUAUUCCGGGGGGCAUGCCUGUUCGAGCGUCAUUUCACCACUCAAGCCUCGCUUGGUAUUGGGCAACGCGGUCCGCCGCGUGCCUCAAAUCGACCGGCUGGGUCUUCUGUCCCCUAAGCGUUGUGGAAACUAUUCGCUAAAGGGUGCUCGGGAGGCUACGCCGUAAAACAAACCCAUUUCUAAGGUUGACCUCGGAUCAGGUAGGGAUACCCGCUGAACUUAAGCAUAUCAAUAAGCGGAGGA
rnacentral:misc_RNA from 1 species